CCCAUGUGGCUGAUGGAGUGCAGGGGGACGGAGCUGUCUCUGCAGGACUGCUGGGCCCAGCCAGGGGACAGCGGUGCCUGCCAGCAUAAGGCAGAUGCGGCUGUGCAUUGCUCAGAUGUCCCUGUCCUGCCCGGAGGUUACCCAGCAGAUGGCUAUGAUGAUGCUGGGGAGGUUUCUGACCCUGGAGAGGAUCCUGUCCCUGGGCAGGGGGACUGGGAAGCGCCCAGGACACCAGAGGGAGGAGAUGGGCUGAGGCAUGCAGUCACAGGUGAGAGGGCAAUGCAGCACUGCCACUUCCUAGGUGCCAACCCCAGGCCUAGGAGAAUCCAUGCCAUAUUGAAAGCCUGACCACCUCCACAUGGAGAACCUGUCCUGGGAUAUUUUGUAGGGGCUGGGAGAACGGGCCAAAUGUCUCAGGCUGGUGAGGACGAGGAAGGUGAUAAACAGCCCCAAGGGGCACGCCACAGACCCAACCACAGCAGCCUGCCUUGAUGCUUACAGGGGGAAGCCUGCACUCCCGGAGAAGUGCUGGGGUCCCUGGAGCAGAGGGAGACACCUUGUACCCUGUCCUGGGGACCACGGGCUAUGACGAUGUUGAAGAGGUGUCUCUGGCAUGUCCCCAUGAGGACACCGAGGAUGUGACACCAGAGUCCCCUGCACAAGUGUUCCAGAGCCCCAGGCCAGCAGAGCCCAGCCCUGCUGAGCAGCUGGGUGCAGCCGGGAGGAAGGAGAGCUCAGUGCCCCUGGGAGAGCCGUGAGCAGCAGGGAAUGGUCUGGUCUUCCUUUUCCAGCAGUCAGCAGACGCACAUGAGUAUUUGCCCUCUUGGUAUUCCCCUGUUUUUAUGCUGUGUGUUGGUAUUUCCUCAUAUUAAAACCUUCUGGGGGCUUUGCCCCAGAUCCAGUCUUCCCUGGCCAUGUUUCUGGACAUCUCCCUGAGGGUGAUGGAGUGGAGAGGAGCUCAAAUAUGCAAUGGCUGGGAAGGGACACAUCUUAGAGCCAGCAGGAUAGGGGCCUGGUUUUGGGGCUGAAAGAGCCCCUGGUCUCUGGACACUAUUCCUACUGACAGACAUUUCCGUCCUGCCCUCCACAGGCAGUUUCCAGACAAAGUGGAUCUCUGGGAAGCCCCAAGAGACACUUCCUUGCAGUGCCC
rnacentral:lncRNA from 1 species